UUUCUACGGAGAGUUUGAUUCUGGCUCAGAACGAACGCUGGCAGCGUGGAUUAGGCAUGCAA
rnacentral:rRNA from 1 species